rnacentral:rRNA from 1 species
UACGAAGGGGGCUAGCGUUGCUCGGAAUCACUGGGCGUAAAGCGCACGUAGGCGGAUUGCUAAGUCAGGGGUGAAAUCCUGGAGCUCAACUCCAGAACUGCCUUGAUACUGGUGAUCUUGAGUCCGGGAGAUGGUGAGUGGAACUGCGAGUGUAGAGGUGAAAUUCGUAGAUAUUCGCAAGAACACCAGUGGCGAAGGCGGCUUACUGGUCCAUAACUGACGCUGAGGUGCGAAAGCGUGGGGAGCAAACAGG